UACGUAGGGGGCAAGCGUUGUCCGGAUUCAUUGGGCGUAAAGAGCGUGUAGGCGGCCAGGUAGGUCGGUUGUGAAAACUGGAGGCUCAACCUUCAGACGUCGACCGAAACCAUCUGGCUAGAGUCCGGGAGAGGAGAGUGGAAUUCCUGGUGUAGCGGUGAAAUGCGCAGAUAUCAGGAAGAACACCCGUGGCGAAAGCGGCCCUCUGGAACGGUACUGACGCUGAGACGCGAAAGCGUGGGGAGCGAACAGG
rnacentral:rRNA from 1 species